rnacentral:lncRNA from 1 species
AAAGCUGUCUCUUGGAUACCCUUAACGUAUUCAUAACAUUGGCCUCAGUGUCACCCGAGUUCCAGGAUGGCAGAAGCCAAGGACUCUGCCAUACCAUCUUUUUUGGCUUCCAGUUUCUCUGCUGCCAAGAAACGUGAAUUGGAGAUUGUAAAAUGAAGAUGUGCUGAUGUGCCACUCCCAACAAUGACAGUGGACCUGCCGUCUUGCUCCCAGCUCCCCGUCUAUACUUCCAUCUUCUCUGUUGGAAGGUACAGGAACCAUCGAUUUGCUCAGCUAUUUGUUAAAAAUGAAAGAAUGACUUUAUUCCGGUGUAUUUCAGAAUCUGUGCACAGCUCCUUUAAGAAUGAGAAGAAGACAGCAGAGGAGCAAGUGUGGCCAAAGGGCUGUUAGCUGGACCAUCUCCUUCUGCGGCAUCUGGUCUGAGCUCCCCUCCGCCUGUGGGACCCACCUGUCACUCUCUGAGGAUUCUCUGAAGUCAGAUCCACCUUUAGGUUCUGCCCUUUUCCCUGAGCUCGUCCUUGGUCUUUGCUCUGUUGACUUGCGCCUCUUUGACCGCAGACACGUGCAGGCCUCUGCCCUGGCCCAUCUCUCCUGCAGUCCUGAUCUGGACAACUGUUGGCUCCACUCUGUCCCCUGCUUCUGUCUGAGCCAGUGCUUGUUAACAGGUCUUUCGUGUGGCUCCUUCUUUCAUAUUUUAUGGCACUCCUUUCCUGAACUUGGCACCAAGUCCCUCUGGAACUGUCCUGGGAGAUAAUACAAUGUCACUGCUAAGGGCAACAACCGAUUGUCCCUCUUCUUCAAUGAUCUACCAGUGUCCGCGAGCUGAACUCUCUCUCCGCUGGGGGAAGUCAAUGGAGGUCACUGCCCGAGAGAUUGAGGGUCAGUCUUUGUCUGCCUUCUUGACAGCUCCAAAAGUCUCAUGUUUCUGAUGAGAUCUGCUGAAGCUUUAUGGAGAGAAAAACCCAAGUGGUUCAAGCCGGCGUGCCUGGAUUCCCCUGGAAACAGCAGGAAUGCCCUUUCUGGGGGCUGUUAUUUGUUAAAAUCGGUUACAGUGCAUUCCAGGAGAGACGUUCCAAAAAAUGCAGGAGCAAUGACAGCCUUGCCGGAAUAGGAGCGAGAACAUGGAACGUGGAGUCAGUCAACCCAAGUUUCAAUGGGCAGAGGCAGCUCCUCACUUUCCAAAUGAACAACCUUGUGCAAGUCAUCAAAACUCCCCGAGCCUUCGCUUCUUCAUCUAUAAAAUGAGGAUGAAAAGAAGACCUUUCUGAUGGUGCUGGUUUGAAGAUCAAAUAAAAUAAUGAAUGUGAAAGUGUAUUGUGAAAUG